rnacentral:misc_RNA from 1 species
CGCGCUUUUUCCGGUCUUUACAGAACGCUCAUUUCAAUCUCAGUGUAACCGAUCUUUCUCCCCCUCGAAACUACCAAUACUUCAAUGGCGGGGGCUACGGGAGGUGCGAGUGCGGAGACGGAUAGCGUAACACCUGCGUCUGCUGUCGGGAGUAAUAUAGAGCUAAAAAACAAGCCACAAACGGAGGAAAUAAAGCGAUGGGGUGAUGUAGUAGACGAUGAGGAGCAACCGAGCGAUACUGUCUCAUCAUCGGAGGAUAAAGUCGUUGAAGAACUUAAAGUGGAUAAAUUAUCGAUUGAUGAUACCAAAAAGAUAAACAAAUUCCUUGAUGACCCUGAAGAUUCUAGCAUCCAAGCUGUAAGAUGCCUAUGAGCUGUGU